rnacentral:piRNA from 1 species
UGUCAGCUUUUAGAAGUUCACUUCUGAGGA